rnacentral:rRNA from 1 species
UCUUGGCCAGCCUUCUGAAAGGAAGAUUAAUACAAGAUGGCAUCAUGAGUCCACAUGUUCACAUGAUUAAAGGUAUUCCGGUAGACGAUGGGGAUGCGUUCCAUUAGAUAGUAGGCGGGGUAACGGCCCACCUAGUCUUCGAUGGAUAGGGGUUCUGAGAGGAAGGUCCCCCACAUUGGAACUGAGACACGGUCCAAACUCCUACGGGAGGCAGCAGUGAGGAAUAUUGGUCAAUGGGCGAGAGCCUGAACCAGCCAAGUAGCGUGAAGGAUGACUGCCCUAUGGGUUGUAAACUUCUUUUAUAAAGGAAUAAAGUCGGGUAUGCAUACCCGUUUGCAUGUACUUUAUGAAUAAGGAUCGGCUAACUCCGUGCCAGCAGCCGCGGUAAUACGGAGGAUCCGAGCGUUAUCCGGAUUUAUUGGGUUUAAAGGGAGCGUAGAUGGAUGUUUAAGUCAGUUGUGAAAGUUUGCGGCUCAACCGUAAAAUUGCAGUUGAUACUGGAUAUCUUGAGUGCAGUUGAGGCAGGCGGAAUUCGUGGUGUAGCGGUGAAAUGCUUAGAUAUCACGAAGAACUCCGAUUGCGAAGGCAGCCUGCUAAGCUGCAACUGACAUUGAGGCUCGAAAGUGUGGGUAUCAAACAGGAUUAGAUACCCUGGUAGUCCACACGGUAAACGAUGAAUACUCGCUGUUUGCGAUAUACAGCAAGCGGCCAAGCGAAAGCGUUAAGUAUUCCACCUGGGGAGUACGCCGGCAACGGUGAAACUCAAAGGAAUUGACGGGGGCCCGCACAAGCGGAGGAACAUGUGGUUUAAUUCGAUGAUACGCGAGGAACCUUACCCGGGCUUAAAUUGCAGAUGAAUUACGGUGAAAGCCGUAAGCCGCAAGGCAUCUGUGAAGGUGCUGCAUGGUUGUCGUCAGCUCGUGCCGUGAGGUGUCGGCUUAAGUGCCAUAACGAGCGCAACCCUUGUUGUCAGUUACUAACAGGUCAUGCUGAGGACUCUGACAAGACUGCCAUCGUAAGAUGUGAGGAAGGUGGGGAUGACGUCAAAUCAGCACGGCC